rnacentral:rRNA from 1 species
ACACUGACGUCGCGACGCAUAUCAAUAAGCGGAGGAAAAGAAACUAACAAGGAUUCCCUUAGUAACGGCGAGUGAAGCGGGAAGAGCUCAAAUUUGAAAUCUUCAAGGUUCUACCUUGACGAAUUGUAGUUUAAAGAAGUGUUUUCUGUUAGAUGAGUAGCAAAAGUUCCUUGGAAUGGGACAUCAUAGAGGGUGAGAAUCCCGUAUUUGGUUAUUCAUUCUAGCUUUGUGAUACACUUUCAAAGAGUCGGAUUGUUUGGGAAUGCAGUCCAAAAUGGGUGGUAAAUUUCAUCUAAAGCUAAAUAUUGGCGAGAGACCGAUAGCGAACAAGUACCGUGAGGGAAAGAUGAAAAGAACUUUGAAAAGAGAGUUAAACAGUACGUGAAAUUGUCAAAAGGGAAGCGUUUGACACCAGUGUUGUUUUUCCGAAAAUCAAUUACGAAUGGCUUGAUUUUGUGUUGUAUUGACCUUAUCAGCUUUCUGCACUUUUUUCGAGUCUUUCUUAAUGCACUUUUCGGUUAACAAGUCAACAUCAAUUUCUUUUGUUGUAAAAGAGUAUUCGGAAGGUGGCUUUCUUUUCGGAGAAAGUGUUUAUAGCCCUAUACUUCUACAAUCGGAGAGAUUGAGGUCUGCAGCGUAGAUCCUUCGGGGUUAGAUACACUUGUGCUAAGUUAUAGCUUUUCAUAGACAACUUGUUGACUAUGUUUAGUCUUGUAGCUUACUCGCUUGUGCUAUUUUACCUACGCUUAGGAUGUUGAGUCGUAGAGCACGCAG